UAGGCGUAAAUGAUGCGAGUUAAGUGUGGGGGCGAUCUACGAGAUGGCCCUCGUGCUGUAGGGUAGCCGUUAAACUCGCUGCCUGGGGAGGUACGGUCGCAAGGCUGAAACUUAAAGGAAUUGGCGGGGGGAGGCACCACAAGAGGUGGAGGCUGCGGUUCAAUUGGACUCAACGCCGGAAACUCAUCGGGAGCGACAGCAGUAUGAUUGCCAGGUUGAUGACCUUGCUUGACAAGCUGAGAGGAGGUGCAUGGCGUAGUCGUGU
rnacentral:rRNA from 1 species